GACGAACGCUGGCGGCGUGCUUAACACAUGCAAGUCGAACGAAGAGCGAUGGAAGCUUGCUUCUAUCAAUCUUAGUGGCGAACAGGUGAGUAACGCGUAAUCAACCUGCCCUUCAGAGGGGGACAACAGUUGGAAACGACUGCUAAUACCGCAUACGAUCUAAUCUCGGCAUCGAGGAUAGAUGAAAGGUGGCCUCUACAUGUAAGCUAUCACUGAAGGAGGGGAUUGCGUCUGAUUAGCUAGUUGGAGGGGUAACGGCCCACCAAGGCGAUGAUCAGUAGCCGGUCUGAGAGGAUGAACGGCCACAUUGGGACUGAGACACGGCCCAGACUCCUACGGGAGGCAGCAGUGGGGAAUCUUCCGCAAUGGACGAAAGUCUGACGGAGCAACGCCGCGUGAGUGAUGACGGCCUUCGGGUUGUAAAGCUCUGUUAAUCGGGACGAAAGGCCUUCUUGCGAAUAGUGAGAAGGAUUGACGGUACCGGAAUAGAAAGCCACGGCUAACUACGU
rnacentral:rRNA from 1 species